rnacentral:lncRNA from 1 species
UCAUAGUAACAGAAAAUGGGGGGACAUCACUUACCUUCCUCUGAGACCUCUGUAACCUCUGGCUGGACAGAGGACUUCAACCUGUCUGAAAGGGUCACUUGCUCUGAGGUAAGCCUGUUGCUGGGUUAUGAGGAGACUUGGACAGUCCUGAGCGUCUCACUACAGCGUAACUUGCCAGGCAUGUGAGAAGAUCCAUGAAGUGGCUCAUCAUGGCUCGGUGGGUAAAUGCACUUGAGGCUGAGGCUGAGACUGAGGGCCCUGAUUCCUGAGAUCCACACAAUGGAAGGAGAACAAAACCUCUCACACAGACACACAUACCAUGGUGACAUACAUAUCAUGGUGAACACACGAUGCAGACAAACACACACCAUCACACACACACACACACACACAC